AUCAUGAAAUAGUAACAUAUCAUACCACUAUUUUUAAAAAAUCAUGAAAACAAACAUGAUUCCGAUGAUAACUAUAUCAUAUCAUAUUAUGAAAACCACAAUCCAACCAUGCUGUUAAAAGAAAAAAAAGCAUCAUCAUUUACUCACUUUAUCUUUCACUCAGAGAAAAACAUAAUUAUUUCUUUCCAUUCAGAAAUCACUGCUCCACUCACAAAAAGAAAAGGACCCAUCUUCCAUUUUGACAUACACCAUCAUCCUCCAUUUUUUCUUUCAUCUUAAAAAAACACUACACACUACCAGCAACAAUACAAUACAAGACAUAGACACCACACCUCACAACAAGAGAGAGAACACACGAAAAAGAAAGAGGGGAUUUUUCCAUUGAAAAACUCAGCAUACACAGUCAUCUUCCUCUCCACAUAACUCACAGCACACCCACAAAAUUCAAUUUUUCUUACAAUACACCAUAUACGCGCCACCACUCACUUCAACCACAAACCAGCAACAGUAGCAGCCAACGAUGCCGGAGUGCGUUGAACUCAACAAUCAGCCGCCUCCACCCUCACGACCUCUCUCUCCAUUCUUCUCCACUUUUUCCUCCUCUUAUUGCUGUUAACUCUCUCCCCUCUGCUUAUGCAACACAAUUUUCUGUCAAUAUUUAUUUAUUUAUUUUUGCGUUUUAUACUGAGUUGGUGGGAGUUCGGAGCUCUCUUGGCUUGCAUUUAAUCGUUUUUUUUUCUUUUUUCAUAUUGUGGUUUCUUUUAAUUUACUUUCUAGUUUUGUGUUGCUUCUCUUUACAAUUUUUAAUGAAUUUUAUGUUGAUUUAAUAGACCGAAGCUUUAUUAUAUAUUAGUUCUAAUUUUUAUUUUUCUAUCUUGUCUGUUUAACCGUUAAUUAGUGAUUUCCAUGUUGAUUGUUAAUUGUUUUGUUUUACUUUUUGGUGUUUAAUAAGUAGUUUUUGUACAAAACAUUUGGUACAACUCAUAUGUCUUGUUCUAUUCCUUAAAAUUGAUUUCUGUUUCCUUAGUACUAUUUUAAUCUUGGAUGAAUUUUAGAUCGUUUAGUUAUAUUUUGUUGCUAAUUUUGUUACUUCUUAAUCAUUUUCGUACCUAUCUUAUUGGUUUGUUGCUAUUUCAUUCUUAAAUAAUAAAUUUGGCCAAUGAAAUUAUCUCUAACUGAACUAUAUUUUGUGCAUAAUUUAUUAUUAUUAUUUUUUUUUUUUGUAUAUUUUUGUCUUGAAGUUUAGUCAUAACAGUGGUCCUACGAUAAUAAUUACUAGUUGGAAAUAUUUCAUCAUUGACUAAAAACAGUAAAGGCUGCUUUACUUUUUAAAUUUGGGAUAUGCUUUAGUAUUCUACUUUGACUUUUCUUGAGGACUUUUAUUCAUCGUGAGUUUUUUAUCUCUUUUUGAAGACAUGUGAUAAAUAUUAUUCUUUUAAAUCAUUUCAUUUCUUCACUGACUUUGCUUUUGCAUCCAUUUUAAUGUGCUAUUUUAUUAUCUUCUUAUAAUAUUGUUGUUAUCAUUUUAUUUCUUUAUUAUGUCAGUUUACUUGAACAAAUACUAUAGUUGAUCGAUGAAGAAAUUCUUCGUCGAUUUUUUAGGCCUUUACAAAUAAAAAAUAAAUAUUUUGUAUAUAAAUACGUAAUAAAAUAAAUAUUUUGAAUGAUGAAAAAAUCUUUAUAAAUAUUUUAAAAUUUUAUUUGACAAUGAAUCUAUUUUUCUUUGUGCAUGGAUAUUUCUUAAAUUUUAUUUCAAUAUCUUUUAAUGAUUUAUUCUUUUUGUAAGAUGUAUUCAUUAAUUUGUAUGGUUUAUUAUUUUAUCCUAUAGUAAUUGUAGAGUUACAGAUUUCUGUAUAAUAAUUUAUCCUAAUUGUACUGUAAUGUAUAUCUAAUUCUAGAUUUUCAAUGUUAUUUAUUAUCUUGUGUUGUUCUUCUCGUAGUGAGUUUUUUAAAUUAUCUAAACUAUCACAUGUACUUUUUUCUAAAUUUUUUAAAGUUUCUUUUAUCCAUAUUAAUUUUUCUUUUAGAUUCUCCAUUAUUUUUCUAAUUCGAUUUUUAUAAUUAAUUUCUUUAUUUAGAUUAUCUUGAUUUUCUCUAGUUUUUCUAAUAUAUUCUAACAUCUCUUAAUCUGAAUAAUAUCCUUCUGGGUAAUUAUCUAGGUAUAACUGUGCUAUCCAAUUUAUGGUUUCAAUUUCAUAGUCUAAU
rnacentral:lncRNA from 1 species